GUGAAUCAUCAAAUUUUUGAACGCAAAUUGCACUUUCUUGUAUGCCGGAGAGUAUGCCUGUGUGAGGGUCUGUUAAUUAAAAAUCGGUGUUUUUGCUGUUAGUGGUGGUGCAUCGGAAUGGAGUCGUCUUUACUUUUGGUUUUAAGUGACUUAAAAUUAUGUACUAUUUCUGAUCGUCUUUAAUAUAUUUACUUACGCUCAUGAUAU
rnacentral:misc_RNA from 1 species